rfam:Eucalyptus grandis cultivar BRASTZ1 unplaced genomic scaffold scaffold_3, whole genome shotgun sequence.
CUCAUGGACUGAGAAUCUGUGAUAAAAAGUGCUUCCAUCAUGAAGAAGCAAAUUGAACCGAAAGUGGCCAAGAAAUUGUUUCAUUCGUCAUUUUUGUCUAAAUUGGCAGUAUGAUUGUUGCUCGUCUACCU